rnacentral:rRNA from 1 species
UACGUAGGGUGCGAGCGUUAAUCGGAAUUACUGGGCGUAAAGCGUGCGCAGGCGGUUCGUUAUGUCCGUUGUGAAAGCCCCGGGCUCAACCUGGGAAUGGCAAUGGAAACUGGCGAGCUAGAGUGUGGCAGAGGGGGGUGGAAUUCCGCGUGUAGCAGUGAAAUGCGUAGAGAUGCGGAGGAACACCGAUGGCGAAGGCAGCCCCCUGGGCUAACACUGACGCUCAGGCACGAAAGCGUGGGGAGCAAACAGG